CCUACGGGAGGCAGCAGUGAGGAAUAUUGGUCAAUGGGCGGGAGCCUGAACCAGCCAAGUCGCGUGAGGGAAGACGGUCCUCUGGAUUGUAACACUCUUUAGGCGGGGAGCAAUGCCGGGCACGCGUGCCCGGAGGGAGAGUACCCGCAGCAUAAGCAUCGGCUAACGCCGUGCCAGCAGCCGCGGUAAUACUGAGGAUGCGAGCGUUAUCCGGAUUUAUUGGGUUUAAAGGGUGCGUAGGCGGAUUUUUAAGUCAACGGUAAAAUGUCCGGGCUCAACCCGGGCCGGCCGUUGAAACUGGGGAGCUUGAGUGGGCGAGAAGUAUGCGGAAUGCGUGGUGUAGCGGUGAAAUGCAUAGAGAUCACGCAGAACUCCGAUUGCGAAGGCAGCAUACCGGCGCCCGACUGACGCUGAGGCACGAAAGCGUGGGGAUCGAACAGGAUUAGAUACCCGGGUAGUC
rnacentral:rRNA from 1 species